rnacentral:misc_RNA from 1 species
AGGUUUCCAAUAUGAAAUCCAUUCAGGAGGACCAUCCUCCUUAAGAUCAUCUUGAGCUUCUUGAACUGCCUCAGGAUUGGUGACAUCCUCCUUCGAGUCCUCAGAGUUUCUUAAAAGGCUCUUCUUCUUAUCUGCUUUAGACUUGGGUAAAUAUGUCACAAUAGAAUAUGUCCGUCCAAAAGCAGCCAAUGGUUGAUACUGAGGAUCAUUUGGAUCAGGAGAAUACCCAGAACGUGCAAAGUAAACAUGAGCAUAAAGACUCCCAUUGUUCUUCACUGCCUCAGAUAGAUGAUACUUCAAAGAAAGAGACCUGGUACUCUCUGGUCCCCAAACUGCAUAUGGUAUGUUUGUCUCAUGCCAAAUAAGUGCACCUUCAUUACCAAAGUCACUGAAAUUUUGUUGUUCCGAAAGAUAGAACCACAUGUCCAAAGGUUCGCCUUUGCUGAAGAGAUUUGAGAUCUGGAAAUUAGGAACUGACGGAUCGGACAUAGGCUUUUUCGGUGAGAAGAACUUAGAAGCAAAGUACCAGAAAACCGCAAUUCUUAUUACUCCCGUCAGCAUCUGUCCAAUUCCCCGCUGCUGUUGCUGCGGCUGCGCCGCCUGUUCCUGCACUUCUCCGCCACCUCCAUUCACCGGUGGCGCCAUCGAUUCUUGACGGAACUAGCUCGGCUUACAGUACAAAUUCUCCGAUCACUUGCCGCCGGCGAU